ACAUGUGAGGCCUAGAUGCGUAUAAUUAAGUCUAAAGUGCCUCCCAAUGACCUGACAAUGACAUUGCAACAUUUUAAAAACAAAAUCCUGAUGAACAUGAUGGUAAAUGUAGCCGAUACAUUGUAAUGUUGUACAUAUGAUUUAUUUUAAGAAUUUUAUUUGCAAACAUCUAGCACAGUAUAAAUAUUUUCCCAAUAAAUAUUAAUUUAACAAUAUAUUAUUGUGCUUUCAGUGUAAACACAAACAUGCUUUCAUAACAAAAAAACAACAACAUAGAAAUAGCAUACUCAGUAAAUGUACAGUGCCAACAAAAACAAACAUAAAAACCAUCAACAUAACUGACUGUUCUGCAGCUGGUUAAUGUGGUGGCAUUGUAAAUAGAUCAGCAAUUUGAAUAAGAAAUGCGAUUAUAUUUGACACCCUUACAUACCAAGAAAACUAAUCUAUGCAUUUCUCUUCUGCUCUCUUAUUUCCUUAUCUUACUUUCUAAUUAACCUAGCAUUGUAUACUACAAAUAUUGUUGCUUAUGUUUCUAUAUUUUAAGUCGCUUUGGAUAAGCAUUUGUAUUUAUGUGGCUUCGAAAAGGGAGCCCCUCCCACAUCGUCAGCUAUUGGACCGAAGUACAGCUUCUAAUGUAUAUUAAUUAUCAAAUAUGGAUGUAGAGAGAGUGAAGGUGUAAAAGCAGAUUUUACAUGACAAACCAUUAACCAUAAAAACUAGACCCUCUAGUGAAGCAUCACAGGAAUUAAAAAAAAUAUAAGAUAGGCCUACGUGUGAAACAGGGUGCCAAAACCUGAGAGAGAGAUUUGUUCUGAUUGGCUGUGUUUUGUGAUUGUGUCAGUGGCCGCACUUCAGGUGAGCACUUGUGUAAUGCAGUGGACCAUAUUUUAACAACCCCUACAUAUUUAAUAGGUUUAUUAUUGAUUUAUACAUAUGCUGUGGAGUGUUUGGUAUCAUAGAUAACUGAGUUUUAUAGAGAUGCUUUAUACAUUGUUCUUAUGCUAUGUAAAUAUUCUACACAAUAUAAAUUAUCUACACUGAGAUACUUGAUAAUCAAUUUCAUUGAAAUAAUCUGAAAUCAACCCAGUAAAUAUAUGUAUAAUUAUGUUGGUUUCCUGAGAUUAUAAUGUCUGAAUUCUUUUAAAAAUAUUUUAAAUAAAAUCUGUCUUUUCUGUUCAUCAGACAUCCACCACUUCAGUUGCUCUGGUCUUUAUCUGUAGUAGAGAGAAAACAAUUGUAAUUAAAAAAAAAUAAUC
ensembl:lncRNA